AAAAUUUUAGUUUAAUAAAAAUUCUUUUUUUACAAAAAAGAGAUAUAAUAUUUAUUUUAAAUUUUA
rnacentral:tRNA from 1 species